rnacentral:rRNA from 1 species
UAGAGUUUGAUCAUGGCUCAGGACGAACGCUGGCGGCGUGCUUAACACAUGCAAGUUGAACGGUAUGACAUGGAAGCUUGCUGAAGUGUCAUAUAGUAGCGGACGGGUGAGUAAUGCAUGAGAAGCUGCCAUUGGGAGGGGGACAACAGUUGGAAACGGCUGCUAAUACCCCGUAUGCCGGAAGGUGAAAGGGAGCGAUCCGCCUGAUGAGGUGCUCAUGUCCUAUCAGCUGGUUGGUGGGGUAACGGCCUACCAAGGCGACGACGGGUAGCCGGCCUGAGAGGGUGAACGGCCACACUGGAACUGAGAUACGGUCCAGACUCCUACGGGAGGCAGCAGUGGGGAAUAUUGGGCAAUGGGGGCAACCCUGACCCAGCGACGCCGCGUGAGGGAAGACGGCCUUCGGGUUGUAAACCUCUUUUGUACGGGAAGAAGGAAGUGGCGGUACUGUACGAAUAAGUCCCGGCUAACUACGUGCCAGCAGCCGCGGUAAUACA